UACGGGAGGCAGCAGUGAGGAAUAUUGGUCAAUGGGCGUGAGCCUGAACCAGCCAAGUAGCGUGCAGGAUGACGGCCCUAUGGGUUGUAAACUGCUUUUAUGCGGGGAUAAAGUGCGCCACGUGUGGCGUUUUGUAGGUACCGCAUGAAUAAGGACCGGCUAAUUCCGUGCCAGCAGCCGCGGUAAU
rnacentral:rRNA from 1 species